CCUACGGGAGGCUGCCGUGAGGAAUAUUGGUCAAUGGGCGCGAGCCUGAACCAGCCAAGUCGCGUGAGGGUAGACGGCCCUACGGGUUGUAAACCUCCUUUGCCGGGGAGCAACGGGCGCCACGUGUGGCGCCACUGAGAGUACCCGGAGAAAAAGCAUCGGCUAACUCCGUGCCAGCAGCCGCGGUAAUACCGAGGAUGCAAGCGUUAUCCGGAUUAAUUGGGUUUAAAGGGUGCGUAGGCGGAGCGUUAAUGCGGGGGUCAAAUUGAGGGGCUCAUCCCCUUCCCGCCAUUGAAACUGGCGCUCUUGAGUGGAAGAGAAGUAUGCGGAAUGCGUGGUGUAGCGGUGAAAUGCAUAGAUAUCACGCAGAACCCCGAUUGCGAAGGCAGCAUGCCGGCUUCCUACUGACGCUGAAGCACGAAAGCGUGGGGAUCGAACAGGAUUAGAUACCCCUGUAGUC
rnacentral:rRNA from 1 species